UUGAGUUUGGCGAAGCCUGAUGCAGCCAUGCCGCGUGUAUGAAGAAGGCCUUCGGGUUGUAAAGUACUUUCAGCGGGGAGGAAGGGAGUAAAGUUAAUACCUUUGCUCAUUGACGUUACCCGCAGAAGAAGCACCGGCUAACUCCGUGCCAGCAGCCGCGGUAAU
rnacentral:rRNA from 1 species